rnacentral:rRNA from 1 species
UAGGGAAUCUUCGGCAAUGGACGAAAGUCUGACCGAGCAACGCCGCGUGAGUGAAGAAGGUUUUCGGAUCGUAAAACUCUGUUGUUAGAGAAGAACAAGGACGUUAGUAACUGAACGUCCCCUGACGGUAUCUAACCAGAAAGCCACGGCUAACUACGUGCCAGCAGCCGCGGUAAUACGUAGGUGGCAAGCGUUGUCCGGAUUUAUUGGGCGUAAAGCGAGCGCAGGCGGUUUCUUAAGUCUGAUGUGAAAGCCCCCGGCUCAACCGGGGAGGGUCAUUGGAAACUGGGAGACUUGGGUGCAGAAGAGGAGAGUGGAAUUCCAUGUGUAGCGGUGAAAUGCGUAGAUAUAUGGAGGAACACCAGUGGCGAAGGCGGCUCUCUGGUCUGUAACUGACGAUGAGGCUCGAAAGCGUGGGGAGCAAACAGG